AAAUAUAGAAAAGCUCAAUAUCAAGAAUUAUUCCAGAAGUUUGCGAUGCGAUAGUUCAGUCACUUCAGGAAUAUGUAAAGGUACCAUUGACUACAGAAGAGUGGCUUCAAAUCUACUCCGAAUUUGAAAGAAAGUGGCAAUUUCCUCACGUUAUCGGGGCUAUGGAUGGAAAACACGUUGCUUUACAAGCACCUAUUAAUUCAGGGAGUGAAUACUACAACUAUAAAUUUUUUUUAGCAUUGCGCUGUUUGAAAUAGUCGACGCAGACUACAAUUUUAUCUAUGCUGAUGUAGGAUGUCAAGGGCGGAUAUCGGACGGUGGUGUAUUCAAAAAUACGACAUUGUACAAUAAAUUGGAGAGGCGCGAAUUAAAUAUUCUUCGCGCAGCAGUGUUACAAGUCCUAUAUUCUAUAGAAUGUUGAAUCAAUGUUCGUGGCUCUCUUCAAAACAAGCACUUUUCCUGAAUACCAAAACUGCCAGAAUCUUCUCCACGCACGAUUCACCAACCAAGUUGGCGACUUCAUGAGAUGAAGUAAACUGAUCUAUUGUUGAGAGUUGAAACAAAGUCCUCUACUUCGAAAUGUUUGUGUCAAAUAUCGUAUAGUGCCUUUGUGAACACUUUCAAUAAAACUUGGAAUAUCAUUUUUUUGCGUAGAGCAUUAUUUCUAUAAAUGAAUUUUCCUUCAACUAGAGUUCUU